rnacentral:rRNA from 1 species
GUAGGGAAUUUUCGUCAAUGGGCGCAAGCCUGAACGAGCAAUGCCGCGUGAGUGAAGAAGCUCUUCGGAGUGUAAAGCUCUGUUGCAGGGGAAAAAGGAGAAGAAGAGUGGAAAGUUUCUUCUUUGAUGGUACCCUGCCAGAAAGUCACGGCUAACUACGUGCCAGCAGCCGCGGUAAUACGUAGGUGGCGAGCGUUAUCCGGAAUGAUUGGGCGUAAAGGGUGCGCAGGCGGCCUGUCAAGUCUGAAGUGAAAUAGACAAGCUCAACGGGGAGAGGAGGGGGAAAAGGGAAGGAGGGAGGAAAGAAGAGGGAGGGGGAAAGAAAGGGGGAGAGGGAAAAGGAGGAGAGAGAUGGAAGAACACCAGGGGCGAAGGCGGCCGCCUGGACGGGGACUGACGCGCAGGCACGAAAGCGGGGGGAGCAAAGAGGA